CACUGCUACAGCCCACAUGGUUUCAGAGAGAUGUAGUCCAUUGGUAGAAGACACACAGAAGUCCAACAAGAACAGUAAAAAGGCUAGAAAAUGCAACCUAUUGCUAGUGAAAGCACUUUAACUGGAAAGACUAUGACACAUCAUCUCAAGAAAGAAAGAUAAGGGUGAUUUUUUUUCCCCACAUUUGCAGAAAUUUUUCCAUACACUUCUUUGGAUUGAAAAGCCUCAUCUUUGGGAUACAUACCACAAGGCAGAAGGAUAAACCAAAAUCCUCUUUGGCUGUUAUUGCAGCAUGUUGCAGGAAUCCCCUAUAUCCUUUGGGACAGAGCAGAAAGCAUUGUAACAACAUUUCAAAGGAAAUAAAGCGUGCAGAAUGUACUACCCCAAAAUGAACCUCACCUAUAGUGGCUUCCUAGACCUUAGAGGUGUUCAGUUGCUGUUUUUCAUAAGCACCACUUUGAUGCCCCCUGUUUUGCCUUAGGUGUUGGCUGUAGAUUUUGCUGGCUUUGCAAUUGUGCUUUUAAGUCAGUGCAGGCAUUUUCC